UACGUAGGUGACGAGCGUUAUCCGGAUUUAUUGGGCGUAAAGCGCACGCAGGCGGCAGAGAAAGUCUGACGUGAAAUCUCCCGGCUUAACUGGGAGCGGUCGUUGGAAACUACUUGGCUUGAGGCGAUGAGAGGGGUGUGGAAUUCCCGGUGUAGUGGUGGAAUGCGUAGAUAUCGGGAGGAACAUCAGUGGCGAAAGCGGCACCCUGGCAUUAUCCUGACGCUCAUGUGCGAAAGCGUGGGGAGCGAACGGG
rnacentral:rRNA from 1 species